UACGUAGGGUGCGAGCGUUAAUCGGAAUUACUGGGCGUAAAGCGUGCGCAGGCGGCUUUGCAAGACAGAGGUGAAAUCCCCGGGCUCAACCUGGGAACUGCCUUUGUGACUGCAAGGCUAGAGUACGGCAGAGGGGGAUGGAAUUCCGCGUGUAGCAGUGAAAUGCGUAGAUAUGCGGAGGAACACCAAUGGCGAAGGCAAUCCCCUGGGCCUGUACUGACGCUCAUGCACGAAAGCGUGGGGAGCAAACAGG
rnacentral:rRNA from 2 species